rnacentral:misc_RNA from 2 species
AACGCACAUUGCACUCCUUUUGGAGUAUGCCUGUUUGAGAAUCAAAAGUAAAACUACAAUUCUUUCUGUGGGAAGAAGUGUGAUUUGAGAAUUCCUUUGGUAGGAUUCUUGAAAUAGAUUGCCUGCUUAUUGUUUCGGGGACAGUGUUUGAAUGGAACCGUGGUUUCUUUUACGCUUCACCAAGCGACAUUAAGACGAGCAGGUUUCUUAAAAAGGGUUUAUCUUGAUGAACUCUGAACAAUGGUCUCAAAUCAGGUAGGAAGACCCGCUGAACUUAA